AGAGAAGUGAAAGAUUACUGCGUGCGGCUCAUUAAGAAUGUUUUAUUUUGUCUGCAAUUUUUCCCCCCGUCUAUUGUCUCUCCACCCUCUCAGCACAAGUCUCGGCGGAGUCACAGCCCUGGGUGCUCCGCAUCGACGGAAUAAAUGCAGAAAAUGAACUGGAAGAAAACAGGGAGGCGAGAAAACCGCGCGGCUGGCCGACGAUGGCCGAAAACUCAAAGGAGAGAUGGUUACACUGCAUCGCCAGCUUGCCUCAUCUGAAUCCCUGACUCCUGACCUCCCCUGAGGAAGGUGCUCACUGUCAGAAGAACCCCCGGCAUCCUACCGCCACAGAAAGGUGAUUCCUUUAAAGCACCAGAAACGGAUGAAGGAGCGAGAGGGGGCUGCGCAAGGCGGGCAGACGGGGAGGGGAGCUGUCGCUUGUGUCAGGUUAACCUCAGAGACACAUCCGGAGCUCAGCAUCUGGGAGACGGAGGGGAGAGAGAGGCACCGUCGCUCCAUUUGGCGCAAUUUCACCACAGCAGCAACAGAUAGCAACAAAAGUCCUGUAGAGGUCUUUAAGGUAACCGAUUAUGAUGUCUUCAACUUUUUGAUAUUAUAUUUUUUAUUGGAUACUUUUAGUAAAAUUACAUUUAUAAUAUGCACAAGUCUUGUAAAGUGACCUUCUGUGUAGGAGAAAAAUAAAGGCACUCUCUGGCAUUACUUGUUGACUGUGUGGACAUACAGUAUGCUAUAAAUGAUCAUUAUUUAUUUAUUUAUUUUACAAGUCUUGAAUUUCUUAAGAUUUAUUUUCCAGUGUUUUUACUCUUGUGUGGAAAUGCAACAAAUCUCCCAGGUUUAGAAAAAAAAGGGUAAAUGAUUACAUAAAAAAAAAUAAAAAAAUAAAAUAACAGAUGGGCCUGCCUAAAAAAAUAUGAUUUUCUACAAAUGAUUGCAUUCUCUCCCCUUUGGUGUGAAAAGUAGACUCAAGAACACUUUUAAAUAAUUUGUUCAAUUUGUUCCACAGCCAAAGAAAAGCGGCUUGGUGGAAAUUCAGAUUCAUUAAAACUUAAUUAAUAUGCAUCAUUAUGUAAAUGAGGUUGCAGUUAAUGAGUUCUUAAAAGAAGCCUUCCUUAAUUAGUUCACUUUUUAAUGGCAUCAUCAUUUAUCUUUUUUCUUUGAAGCAGAAUGACGCGAGGACCUCGCCGUUCCCGAAAGUGCUAAAAUUUUCCAUUUUUUAAUUAUUCUUAUUUCCUUAAUUUUUAUAUGAUUAAGAAUGCAUUUAGGGAAGUAAAUAAAUGAGAAAAACUUAGACCUUUUUUUUUCCAGACUCACUUAUUUCCAUUAAAACAGAGUCUCUCUAGAUGUCCGGAGUGUUUAAAAAGUUAAAGGGAAAGCAUCUUCUUACAAAACAAUCAAGGCUGUCUCACAAUUACCUCCCUGGCUUUUGCAAGUAGCUUCAUUUCCACUAAAUCUGAGCAGCCUCUUAAUUGCUCUCUCCAGUUGGGCUGCAGUAUAUAUUACCACACUCCAUUACUAUUUAUGGAGCCUGAGAUUCAUAUUGCAAAUAUGAAGAUUACUGUGGUCAUUUCCUUCUGCAUUCAUUCUCUCAUUUGUUCAUUUACAUAUUCAAUCACUCAAUGAAUUCUUUUUCUUUUUUUUUUUUUUGAUAAACAAUUUACCUUUAGAUAUAAUGGAUAAAAUUAGUAAGCCAUCUAGUUUUUAGUUCAGCACACCUGAUGGAAUUUAGAUCAGAAAAUCAUGUUUAUUUUGUAUAAGCUUUAAAUAUAUAUAUUGAAGGUGUUUGAAUUUUCAUACAAAAAGCAUGCAGUGCGUUUAAUUUCUCUUCUCUGUGACUUUGUGGGCCAGGUGAAGCGGAGAUCAGACUCACACACACAAGUAAAUUUGUAUAGUAAAACCUUGCGUUGCAUAUAAAGCUAUGGCGUGAAAGACGAUUUUACAUUUAUUCCCACAGGCAAGAUAGUAGUAUAAACUAUAUGAUUUGAAGGCAGUGUUUGUGAAUGUGUGUGUGUGUUUGUAAAGGUAGAGAGGGUGUGUGUGGAGGGGGAGACACAGUGUUUUAUGUUCCCGCUCACUAACCAUCACUCUGCUCCUAAUUGAUAACCACUGGCAUUUGAUCAGGCGGUCUUCAAACAAGGAAUCUAUCUUUGUAUUAUGUAUAAGAAGACCAUCUGUUGUUGCAGCGAUCUACAUUCAUUAAAUUGAAUUUCUCAACUCAGGAAUAAGAUUUUAAUUGUCCAUUGUUACUUGAGGAUUUUCCCCAUCAUCUCUCUAAGUUCCUCCCCCAGGGUGGUAUUUGGGGGUUGUUGCGGAACAGAUUGGCGUUUGUUUGUUUACUAGUACUUGAUGAUGUGACCUGGCCAUUUUUGAAAAGUGAAACUGAAAAAGUGCAAAAUGUGUGGAUAUAUAUAUAUAUAUAUAUAUAUAUAUAUAUAUAUAUAUAUAUAUAUAUAUAUAUAUAUAUAUAUAUAUAUAUAUAUAUAUAUAUAUAUAUAUAUAUAUAUAUAUAUAUAUAUAUAUAUAUAUAUAUGUGUGUAUUAUAUUUUUAAUGGUCUUGCAGAAAGUUAAGUGAAGCAAGUAAAAUGAGAACAUAAAAGUAGUGUAUAAUUAGGAAAUAAAAAUGAGCGUAUUUGGACACAUUUCUUGCAGGUUGUUAUUGGACAUUUUGAGCAGUGAAUCGUUUGGCAUUUGGUGUUCUGUGAGGAGCGACGGUGGGCAUGUGUUAACUACACACAGGACACUCGAGCGAAAACCAGACGCCCACCGAAUCCUUCAAUCUGUCAUUUCCUCUCGCAGCUCCCGAGCAAGAUAAAAAUAAAGCGAAGCACAAAACACUUCUCUCUUAUUACUCUUUCAAAAUAAUGCUCUUCACACUUUAGUUCACUUCUUGGUAGCCUUUACUUGGAAACAUGUUGCAGUGAGCAUAUUGUUUAGAAAAUAAGUAGGCCUAAUUUAUUUUUUUAUUCGCCAUGGGUGUUCAGCGAAUGAUCCGUGAUCAGUAUCAAAAUUGAAGAAACGGUUGUAUUAGGAAUCUGGCUUGCCUAAGUAUAAUUAAUAUAUUUCUUGAACAUUUUUUUUUUUUUUAUUAUUCUUUGGUCCCACUUUAUAUUAGGUGGCCUUAACUACUAUGUACUUACAUCAAAAAAGAUGGACAAUGUACUUCUUUG